CGACGCUGGCGGCGUGCUUAACACAUGCAAGUCGAACGAGACGAUUUAGAAGCUUGCUUUUAUUGAGUCGAGUGGCAAACGGGUGAGUAACGCGUAGACAACCUGCCGCAAAGUAGGGCACAGCCUUGCGAAAGUAAGAUUAAUGCCCUAUGUGCUGUGAUGAUGACAUCUGAAUUGCAGUAAAGGUUCACCGCUUUGCGAUGGGGAUGCGUCUGAUUAGGUUGUUGGCGGGGUAACGGCCCACCAAGCCCGCGAUCAGUAGGGGUUCUGAGAGGAAGGUCCCCCACAUUGGAACUGAGACACGGUCCAAACUCC
rnacentral:rRNA from 1 species